rnacentral:pre_miRNA from 1 species
UCUGGAAUUGCCAGGUCAUAUGGUGAUCUAAUUUUUAAAGGAAAUACCAAAUUAUUUUCCAAAGGAGUUGUACCACUUGACAUUCCCACCAGAACU